rnacentral:rRNA from 1 species
CUUUAAAGAAAGCGUAAUAGCUCACUAGUCGAGUCGGCCUGCGCGGAAGAUUUAACGGGGCUAAACUGAUAACCGAAGCUGCGGACGCAUACUUGUAUGCGUGGUAGAGGAGCGUUCUGUAAGCCGUUGAAGGUGCAUUGUAAAGUGUGCUGGAGGUAUCAGAAGUGCGAAUGCUGACGUGAGUAACGAUAAAGCGGGUGAAAAACCCGCUCGCCGGAAGAUCAAGGUUUCCUGUCCAACGCUAAUCGGGACAGGGUUAGUCGGUACCUAAGGCGAGGCCGAAAGGCGUAGUCGAUGGAAAACAGGUUAAUAUUCCUGUACCGCUAUAUACUGCGAUGGGGGGACGGAGAAGGCUAGGUGAUCAGGGCGAUGGUUGUCCCUGUACAAGCUUGUAGGGAGAUCUCUUAGGUAAAUCCGGGAGAUCAUUAUCCUGAGGAGUGAUGUCGAGCUCAAUUGCGAGCGAAGUCAUUAAUGCCAUGCUUCCAAGAAAAGCCUCUAAGCUUCAGGUAUAUAGAGACCGUACUCCAAACCGACACAGGUGAUCAGGUAGAGAAUACCAAGGCGCUUGAGAGAACUAUGGUGAAGGAACUAGGCAAAAUGGUGCCGUAACUUCGGGAGAAGGCACGCCGAUUUUGGUGAUGGGAUUUACUCCCUAAGCUGAGGUUGGCCGCAGAGACCAGGCCCCUGCGACUGUUUAUCUAAAACACAGCACUCUGCAAACUCGUAAGAGGAAGUAUAGGGUGUGACGCCUGCCCGGUGCCGGAAGGUUAAUUGAUGGGGUUAGCUUCGGCGAAGCUCUUGAUCGAAGCCCCGGUAAACGGCGGCCGUAACUAUAACGGUCCUAAGGUAGCGAAAUUCCUUGUCGGGUAAGUUCCGACCUGCACGAAUGGCGUAACGACGGGGGCGCUGUCUCCACCAUAGACUCAGUGAAAUCGAAAUCGCGGUGAAGAUGCCGUGUUCCCGCGGCUAGACGGAAAGACCCCGUGAACCUUUACUAUAGCUUGGCACUGAACUUUGAAUCUAUCUGUGUAGGAUAGGUGGGAGGCUUUGAAGCGUUAUCGCUAGAUAGCGUGGAGCCACCCUUGAAAUACCACCCUGGUAUAUUUGAGGUUCUAACUCUGACCCAUUAUCUGGGUCGAGGACAGUGUCUGGUGGGUAGUUUGACUGGGGCGGUCUCCUCCCAAAGAGUAACGGAGGAGCGCGAAGGUACACUCAGCAUGGUCGGAAAUCAUGCUAUGAGCGCAAAGGUAGAAGUGUGCUUGACUGCGAGACUGACACGUCGAGCAGGUACGAAAGUAGGUCUUAGUGAUCCGGUGGUUCUGUAUGGAAGGGCCAUCGCUCAACGGAUAAAAGGUACUCCGGGGAUAACAGGCUGAUA